rnacentral:rRNA from 1 species
GAUGAACGCUGGCGGCGUGCCUAAUACAUGCAAGUCGAGCGAACAGAUGAGGAGCUUGCUCCUCUGACGUUAGCGGCGGACGGGUGAGUAACACGUGGAUAACCUACCUAUAAGACUGGGAUAACUUCGGGAAACCGGAGCUAAUACCGGAUAAUAUAUUGAACCGCAUGGUUCAAUAGUGAAAGACGGUUUUGCUGUCACUUAUAGAUGGAUCCGCGCCGCAUAGCUAGGUGGUAAGGUAACGGCUUACCAAGGCAACGAUGCGUAGCCGACCUGAGAGGGUGAUCGGCCACACUGGAACUGAGACACGGUCCAGACUCCUACGGGAGGCAGCAGUAGGGAAUCUUCCGCAAUGGGCGAAAGCCUGACGGAGCAACGCCGCGUGAGUGAUGAAGGUCUUCGGAUCGUAAAACUCUGUUAUUAGGGAAGAACAAAUGUGUAAGUAACUAUGCACGUCUUGACGGUACCUAAUCAGAAAGCCACGGCUAACUACGUG